rnacentral:lncRNA from 1 species
AUGUUUAUCAGCUUCGGAAUGGAGGCUAAGGCAUAUGCUUCCCAAAUAACCUGAACAUUUCCUUUCAAAAGGAUCAGCUUAGUGCCUCGUUUAGAAUGAGCACAGUAAAUGUCUUUUAAACUCUUAGGUGGAGUGACCUUCCUCAUUCCAUUCCAGUCCCUGAACUUACCAGUGCUCCUUGGGCUCUCUGUCUUACUGAAAGGUGUAUAUUGUUGCCUAAAUCCUCAUAUUAAACGUUUAAGCUAUAUGAAAUGUAAUUCUCACAUUAAAUAUCCAUAUUCAACCCUAAUCGUAAUUCAGUCCAACAUCAAAAAUCUCAACUCCUAAGUAUAAACUCAUGGUUUCCUGAAAUAGAGUUUAUUAUUAUUACUAUGUCUUCUCACCAACAGAAAUAGAGAGCAAUUAGAUAACUAACUUAGCAUUAUUUCUAACUUCUACUUAGAAGCAUAAAUGUGAAACAAACCCU